GAUUCUCUGAAGUCUGAAAGUGAACUCCAUUAAUCAGUGAACACGGAACACCAAACAAGAACAACACCUCUCGAUCCAGAAGAAGAAGGAGAAAAAGUCAGUGAUUUCAAUGAUUUGAUUUGUUUUCACAGGGUAAGUUAUCAAUCACGUCAGGAAGAAGACGAAGCGAAAGGAUUCAAGGAAGAAGCUGAAGGAAACCCAUUAAGUGAUGGAAAUAUGGCGCCAUUUCACUCGGAGAAAUGUUGAAGAAGCCACUUGCAAUUAUUGUGGAAGGACUUAUAGGGCUAACAUGUUCAGAAAUGGAACUUCUGCCUUGUG